GGAGAACACCGCCUGGGGGCGUAGAUCCCUAUGGCUAGGAAGCCCGCUUCCCACGCCGUGAUCUUGGGUUUGUCGUGACCCCCGAACUCCCCACCAGCUCCCACGGCCUGGUCCUUGGAGCCAGAGGGUGGCAGAGGAGCGCCGCCGCGCUGAUAAUGAAUGUCUCCCUCGACGGGAGCUUCUGCGCCCUCGUCUCCGCAGGGCUCGCCUUCCGAUUUCAGGAUGUCCAUCUGCAGGCCCUGGCGAUGCUCAAAGUCGAGAUCGUCGCAGUGCGCGAAGCCCACCGCUUCCUCAUCGGUGGCCGCCUGAAACCCCAUCCUGGCAAACAUGCCGCUCACCUUGGCCUGGGACUUGUUGGACACGGAGGUGGCCACAUUGGUCAGCUUGCUGCGGAGCAGGGUGGCCAUGGCGGCGGCGGGGCGGGAGAAAAGGACAGAAGGGUCUGGGGACGCGGCGGGCGCGCGUCAAGGCAGCGAGGACUGCUAUCUCCGCUGGGUCUCCGCGCGGCGCCCCAGGGCGCUCUGGCUCAUGACCCUCGCGCCUGACGUUCGAGGCUGGCCCCGGUCACGACAGUCUGGCUCUUGGUGGGACCGGCCCGAGAGGCGACGAGUGCACUGCAGAGCUGGUGCGGGUGCCGGCUGGGCUGCGGAGGGCGGCGGCGACGGCAGCGUCAGAACAGCUACGCGAGGCUGGCGCGGCGCCCCCACGCGGGCGCAGCCCAAUGCGCUCGCACCCCUCG
ensembl:antisense Gm14205 predicted gene 14205